UGGGGAAUAUUGGACAAUGGGGGGAACCCUGAUCCAGCCAUGCCGCGUGUGUGAAGAAGGCCUUAUGGUUGUAAAGCACUUUAAGCGAGGAGGAGGCUACUCUAGUUAAUACCUAGGGAUAGUGGACGUUACUCGCAGAAUAAGCACCGGCUAACUCUGUGCCAGCAGCCGCGGUAAUACAGAGGGUGCGAGCGUUAAUCGGAUUUACUGGGCGUAAAGCGUGCGUAGGCGGCUUAUUAAGUCGGAUGUGAAAUCCCCGAGCUUAACUUGGGAAUUGCAUUCGAUACUGGUGAGCUAGAGUAUGGGAGAGGAUGGUAGAAUUCCAGGUGUAGCGGUGAAAUGCGUAGAGAUCUGGAGGAAUACCGAUGGCGAAGGCAGCCAUCUGGCCUAAUACUGACGCUGAGGUACGAAAGCAUGGGGAGCAAACAGGAUUAGAUACCCUGGUAGUCCAUGCCGUAAACGAUGUCUACUAGCCGUUGGGGCCUUUGAGGCUUUAGUGGCGCAGCUAACGCGAUAAGUAGACUGCCUGGGGAGUACGGUCGCAAGACUA
rnacentral:rRNA from 1 species